rnacentral:rRNA from 1 species
AGAGUUUGAUUCUGCUCAGAUUGAACGCUAGCGGCAUGCCUUACACAUGCAAGUCGAACGGCAGCGCGGACUUGGUCUGGCGGCGAGUGGCGAACGGGUGAGUAAUGCAUCGGAACGUGCCCAGUAGCGGGGGAUAACUACGCGAAAGCGUGGCUAAUACCGCAUACGCCCUACGGGGGAAAGGGGGGGAUCGCAAGACCUCUCACUAUUGGAGCGGCCGAUGUCGGAUUAGCUAGUUGGUGGGGUAAAGGCCUACCAAGGCGACGAUCCGUAGCUGGUUUGAGAGGACGACCAGCCACACUGGGACUGAGACACGGCCCAGACUCCUACGGGAGGCAGCAGUGGGGAAUUUUGGACAAUGGGGGCAACCCUGAUCCAGCCAUGCCGCGUGUGCGAAGAAGGCCUUCGGGUUGUAAAGCACUUUUGGCGGGAAAGAAACGGCGCCGGAUAAUACCUGGCGUAACUGACGGUACCCGCAGAAUAAGCACCGGCUAACUACGUGCCAGCAGCCGCGGUAAUACGUAGGGUGCAAGCGUUAAUCGGAAUUACUGGGCGUAAAGCGUGCGCAGGCGGUUCGGAAAGAAAGAUGUGAAAUCCCAGGGCUCAACCUUGGAACUGCAUUUUUAACUCCCGAACUAGAGUAUGUCAGAGGGGGGUGGAAUUCCACGUGUAGCAGUGAAAUGCGUAGAUAUGUGGAGGAACACCGAUGGCGAAGGCAGCCCCCUGGGAUAAUACUGACGCUCAUGCACGAAAGCGUGGGGAGCAAACAGGAUUAGAUACCCUGGUAGUCCACGCCCUAAACGAUGUCAACUAGCUGUUGGGUUCUUCGGAGCUUGGUAGCGCAGCUAACGCGUGAAGUUGACCGCCUGGGGAGUACGGUCGCAAGAUUAAAACUCAAAGGAAUUGACGGGGACCCGCACAAGCGGUGGAUGAUGUGGAUUAAUUCGAUGCAACGCGAAAAACCUUACCUACCCUUGACAUGUCUGGAAUCCUGAAGAGAUUUAGGAGUGCUCGAAAGAGAACCGGAACACAGGUGCUGCAUGGCCGUCGUCAGCUCGUGUCGUGAGAUGUUGGGUUAAGUCCCGCAACGAGCGCAACCCUUGUCAUUAGUUGCUACGAAAGGGCACUCUAAUGAGACUGCCGGUGACAAACCGGAGGAAGGUGGGGAUGACGUCAGGUCCUCAUGGCCCUUAUGGGUAGGNCUUCACACGUCAUACAAUGGUCGGGACAGAGGGCAGCCAACCCGCGAGGGGGAGCCAAUCCCAGAAACCCGAUCGUAGUCCGGAUUGCAGUCUGCAACUCGACUGCAUGAAGUCGGAAUCGCUAGUAAUCGCGGAUCAGCAUGUCGCGGUGAAUACGUUCCCGGGUCUUGUACACACCGCCCGUCACACCAUGGGAGUGGGUUCUACCAGAAGUAGGUAGCCUAACCGUAAGGGGGGCGCUUACCACGGUAGGGUUCAUGACUGGGGUGAAGUCGUAACAAGGUAGCCGUAUCGGAAGGUGCGGUUGGAUCACCUCCUU